rnacentral:rRNA from 1 species
AACGAACGCUGGCGGCAUGCCUAACACAUGCAAGUCGAACGAAACCUUCGGGUCUAGUGGCGCACGGGUGCGUAACGCGUGGGAACCUGCCCUUAGGUUUGGAAUAACUCCCCGACAGGGGUGCUAAUACCGGAUAAUGUCUUCGGACCAAAGAUUUAUCGCCUUUGGAUGGGCCCGCGUUGGAUUAGCUAGUUGGUAGGGUAAAAGCCUACCACGGCGACGAUCCAUAGCUGGUCUGAGAGGAUGAUCAGCCACACUGGGACUGAGACACGGCCCAGACUCCUACGGGAGGCAGGAGUGGGGAAUAGUGGACAAUGGGGGGAAGCCUGAUCCAGCAAUGCCGCGUGAGUGAUGAAGGCCGUAGGGAUGUAAAGCUCUUUUACCCGGGAUGAUAAUGACAGUACCGGGAGAAUAAGCGCCGGCUAACUCCGUG